UGUGUGCCAGACACUGUUCUAGGUGCUGGUUUCUGCCGCAAAAGAUGAGCACCAACUGAGAAUAAGAGGAGGAGCACUAGAAAAACAGAGAAGGCCUCCCAUGGCUCACUGGAGAGUAGGAGCCAGGAAUUUGUAGAGGUGCUAAUCUGAACAAUCUGUGAUUCUUCUUCAGCAACGUAAGGGGAAGAAGUGGAUGUGGAAGGGGGCUGGCCCUCAGAGACAGCUGUCUCCUACAGCCUGGAGCAGGAGAACUGAAUGGGAGGGAAGAAGAGAGGGAAAGGCUCAACUGCCAACUAUCUGAGGG